rnacentral:lncRNA from 11 species
CUGAGCCCUGACAUAAACCACAUUACCCGCUUUGAACUGGAUUAUCUGAGUCUACACUACCAUAUAAUCCAAUUCAAAGCAGAUAACCUGGAUUUUAUACAGCUGUGUAGAAGGGGCCUGAGACUGCCUCUGAAAACUCCCACCCCACAAACUUUUACUGGAGAUAAAUGUCUGGCACGGAGUCAAACUGCAAUGCCUUUUGGCCCUAAUUGCAUCCACAUGCUUUCAUUCUCAAAGAACUUCAAAUGUAUGGUGAAACAGGAUCGACCUUUGCAUGAGCCACACCAAUUCUCCUCAGCAAGAUUUCCAGAUUGUGCUUGGAAAGAUCAACACCCAUUGAAGAAAGUGCUGGGAAAUCUCAAGCAGAAAGAUAAAUUCACAAGAAUUUCCAUGCUUGCAUUGGACGGACCAUUCAGCCUGUGCCUCCUGACUGAAAGCAGGCAAAGCUAGAACACUGACUCACAAAGAGAUGAAAUGAAUGGAAUAUAUGUGGGUUUUGUAAGACAUUCUUAAUUUUUCAAAGGAAAAGAAGUCAAUCAUAAUAUCUAUAGUUUAAAUUGCUAUUUAUAUUUUUAAGAAGCUUGCUUCAAUCACUGGCCCUUUUUGGGAGUGUUCAUCUGUGUACCUCUUAAAUAAAGUUAGCUGCUGGCAAAACAAUCUGCCCUACCACUUUGUAAGAAAUAUGGAAGUUUGGUAUAUAUUCCACUGCUGUUCACUAUAAUGAUGCCCCCAAGUGAAUGGUAAAAGAUACAGUUGCUGUUGUUAUCCUUUUUAAUACCUCCAACUUAAAUAAAUGUUUUUCAGAACAUUUGGAGGUGGAAGAGAUGGAGAUCACUCUAGUUCUCUCCUUUUUUUUUUUUUUUUUUGCUUUGCCUUAAAAGCACAGAGGAAACAAAGCAGCUCAAUCUGAGGUGGACGAAACAUCUGAGAAAUGGGCACUAGAAAUUCAGGACAGCCCUAACGUUGUUUAUUUUUGUUCAAGUACUUAUGGAAACCACAGAUGUCAAGCAGCAGCAUCCCUCUUUUUCCCUUCAACACAGAAAUGAUGAGUGCUUCUGCAAAAAAAUAAAAAUAAAAAAUAAAUACCAAGGAAAUAUACAUUCUAUAGCAAAAUCUCUGAUUUAACCCAUACACAACUUAGUGCACAUUUAAUUGAUUAACUGGCGAAAACUCGUGUGAUCAAUCAACAUGCUAUUAGGGUCCCUGGACUUUUUGUUCCUGCUGAAAAUAUUCCCACGUCCUGAAGAAACGAGUCUCAAUUAAAAAG